UUUUUUUUUCUUACUUGGAAUUUAAGUUGAUAAUGUGUGAGCGGACUCUACCUUACAACUACCUACUGUGUACAUGUUCUUUUGUGUAUGAAUAAGCUGUCUUUCUUCUUACAGAUUAUGCCACAGCUACUAUACCACUUUGGCGUGAAAAAUGAUGCAGAUUCUCUUGAUUGGUCAACCGUGGUCAUUUAUACAUGUGAAGCCUCUUGUGAUGGUAGCGCCUCUUGUGAUGGAAGCGUGGCUUACAAAGAGGAAUUUGCUUGGGUUCAACCUCCUGAACUUGCUACACUGAGAUGAUAUGUUCUUGGAUUUUUCCUAUAUCCCCUUUUUGUUUNAGCGGUUGUUAAUAUUCAAACAUGUAACAGGUAUUGCAGGGAUGCUGGAGCCAAACCUCUAUGGCCCAUGUCAGGUGGCCGGCCAUCAGAGACUGACAUUCCUACAUGCUGCUACUGUGGGGGACCUCGCUGCUUUGAGGUUCAGGUAGUGAGAGCUAUCUUACCUCUUCUUCUUUUUUUUUUUUUUUCUUACUUGGAAUUUAAGUUGAUAAUGUGUGAGCGGACUCUACCUUACAACUACCUACUGUGUACAUGUUCUUUUGUGUAUGAAUAAGCUGUCUUUCUUCUUACAGAUUAUGCCACAGCUACUAUACCACUUUGGCGUGAAAAAUGAUGCAGAUUCUCUUGAUUGGUCAACCGUGGUCAUUUAUACAUGUGAAGCCUCUUGUGAUGGUAGCGCCUCUUGUGAUGGAAGCGUGGCUUACAAAGAGGAAUUUGCUUGGGUUCAACCUCCUGAACUUGCUACACUGAGAUGAUAUGUUCUUGGAUUUUUCCUAUAUCCCCUUUUUGUUUCUUUUAGACUGGAGUCGGAUUCUGAUGUGUCUUUAUUGCCGGAACCUAGACUAGACUGCAAUAGUGCACUUGAAUGUCAUUUACU
rnacentral:lncRNA from 1 species